UGCGUUUCAGUUUGAAGGCUAGGGCAGC
rnacentral:sRNA from 1 species